UACGUAGGGGGCAAGCGUUGUCCGGAAUUAUUGGGCGUAAAGCGCGUGUAGGCGGCCAGGUAGGUCUGCUGUGAAAACUCGAGGCUCAACCUCGAGAUGUCGGCAGAAACCCUCUGGCUAGAGUCCGGAAGAGGAGAGUGGAAUUCCCGGUGUAGCGGUGAAAUGCGCAGAUAUCGGGAAGAACACCCAUGGCGAAGGCGGCUCUCUGGGACGGUACUGACGCUGAGACGCGAAAGCGUGGGGAGCGAACAGG
rnacentral:rRNA from 1 species